ensembl:lncRNA
GCCCAAGUGCUUUCCCUCCCCAGACUAAAGCGGAAGUAAACAAAUCAAACAUGAGCUGAGACCGUAUUAUAACCGUGAUUGCAAAAACUGCUUGUUCAACUGUAGCUUUAGAUUGGGGUCGGUUCUGUUAAUAUCGGCUCAUAAAUACAUCCUAGAGGCAGCUGAAACAAACCGUCACCUUUAACCCACAGCGAAAACCAAGUAACAGUAAAAUCAAGUUGGCGCGUUUUGGAUGAAGAGCAAUAUUUGCUUACACUGACCAACAUAAUGGACUGUAGCACCGCUGACCUGCACGCUAACGUGGCACACGACUCUCCAGAUGAGAGCUCCAGCAGUGAUGAGGACUUGGUGCCUCUAUCAAAGCUGCUGAUGAGGCAACAGAGUGAUGAGAAGGAGUCAUGCGACAAUACCCGCAGCUUAUCCUCCAACUCCAAUAACAAAUCAAAAAAGGACAAAGCUUCAGAUGGCUCCUCGGAUGAUGAGCCGCUAGUAAAGAUGAAGACAAGCCUUGCACCACCUAAGAAACAAGAGAAAAAGGAAAACACACCACCCAAAUCUAACAGCACAAAUAACAAGAACACAGACGAAGACUCUGACAAUGAGCCUUUGAUAAAAAUUGCCAAAAUGUCCUUGAAAGCUGUGAAAAAACCUCCCUCAGUUCCAACCAAAAAAACUGCUGGUAGAAAGAAGAAAGAGUCACUGGGCAAGGACGACAGCUCCGAUGAUGAGCCUUUGAGUCAAGUUGCCAAGAAACCUCAAUCACGGCACAAGAAAAAAGCAGCUGCUGAAAAAGCAAGCCCGGUUACCAAAUCCAAAAGAAACGCUGCAAAGAAAAAGGUGAAAUAUACUGAGACGUCCACUGACAGUUCAGAUGAUGAGCCACUGGCAGCGGUAAAGAGGAAGUCAUCGAAACAUAAAGACAGCAGCUCAGAUGAUGAUGUGCCCCUUGUGGACCUCAUUCCCAAGAAAAGGAAGCCAGUGAAGAAAAGCCCAAAGAAGAGCACGGUAACACGAGGGCGAGCAUCAAACAAGAGAAAAGCAGAAGUCAGUGAUGAUAGCUCAGAUGAAGAACCCUUGAUUAAUCUUGUGAAAAAACCUCGUGCUAACAAAAAACCCAAAACAAAGGCUCCCACUCCGAAGAAGAAGAGCACACCUUCCAGGAGUCCAAGAAAGAAGCCAGGUAACAGUUCAGAUGACAAACCAUUGAAGGCAGCUAAGCAUCCACAAGUGACCAAAACCCUGACAAUCCUACUAGAGAGGUGUGAUGCUGGACAGGCUGGGGCAGCAGGAAGCCUAAAGAAAGCCAGCACAGAAAAACAUGUUGCUGAAAGGCCAGAGAAGGAGGACUCGGCCGGUUCAGAGGAAUCUUCAGAAGAAGAAUAAGUAAAUGAAACAAAUUUCUCAAAGCGUUGUGAAACAUAACGGUCACAGUUAGUGUUUAUGUAAAGUUCUUCACUGUGCUUUAUCUCAAUAGGUGUUAAUUUAUGCGCAUUCUAUUUUUACUCCAGAUUUUAGGUGUGGGACCAAAUUUUGUGGGUUCCUUAAAGAUUUUAUGCACUGUCUUUGAUGCUAUGUUUUUUAAUGUUACGUGCCAAUUGUUUGCAGUUUUUGAAUCCUAUGAGUUUAAUUUGUUUUUAAAAAAGAAGAAAACAGUGUAGCUCUCAUUGCUGUAAGUUACAUUUCAGCUUUCAGGCAUUUUAGCUUUAAGUACACCCUCAGCAUGCAGUUAUAAAAUUUGUUGUGUUGGAAUUAAAGUCCUUUCACAAAGAAAUUCACAUAAGAGUAAGUCACAUUUGUUCAGCUUUCAAUGAUUCUUUUUUUGUCAUUGUUUGUCAUGUUAAUAACCCACAUCACAGAGGACGCCUUUAGAUUUGUGCAGCCGUCCAUAUUGAUUUGUAUGCAUGGUAAUUACAAAAACACCACUUUUGUCUUAGUGAUUCUACAUUUCAGUUUGACCUAAUGAGGUUACCAAGUAGAGCUUUCUGUAUAGGUCUUACAUAUAGAGCUGGCAUUAUUCAUUAACCUUUUCUUGAUUGUAUUUUCUUGGCUAACUUGUCCUGUUAGAAUGUAGCACCUUCUAAAAGUAGAGCUGCAACUAAGUAAUUAGUGUUUUGUUUUUAGUGUUUGUUUCAGCGUUUUGAAUACUGUUGAAAACCUUGGUGGUUAAAAAAAGAAAAAUGGUUACUACAGUUACACAAUUUUCUUUUUCCAUAAGACAGUGUUAUAGGGUCUGCAACUAGUUAACUUUAUUAUUACUUUAAAAUGUCUUUAUAACAAAUAAAUGAAUAAUAAACACUGAAAAAGAUUUUAUAAUAUUUCCUAAAAUAAUAAAUAAAUUGUGAAAUUGCUUGUACAUAAUUUCUUCACAUUUUAAAAGGUGCAAUUAGAUCAUUUCUUGCCAUUUGUCAAAAAAAAAGCCCCAAACAAAACACAAUGAAAAACUACUAAUAACUACUAUUUAAAAUGGCAUAUUAUUUAAAUAAUUUUGUAAAAAUCUUUAUUAAUAAACACCCAAACACAAAUAAAUAAGGCAUGUUAUUAUGUAGCAGUUAAAAAAACAUUUUGAAGAAAAGUGGAGCAUUUAAGUAAUACACGGAAAUAAACAGAAAAUAAUAAUUGAAAUAACUUCUGUACCAUAAAGAGUUGCUAACUAGUUAUGUUGUGCGCAAAAGAAAAAUUUUAUUUUAGAUCUUUUUUAAAUGGUAGUCAAUAAACUUGAAAAUUACACAAAAAAUGAAUGUUACACUGGUGUCAUAUAUGAAAAUCUGUAGAAAAAAAUCACUAGUUUUUACUUAAACAAUAUGUAUUUACAUACUUUCAUCGAUUGUACAAAUGGCAACUUGAAAGUUGUUCAAGAAGGUAACAUUUCAAAAGAAAAGCAUCUCAAAUUUAUAUAUGUCCUUGCAAUGAAUUCUUAAGACAACAGAUAAAAAAAAUAACUAUGAUUCAGAUAUUAAAAACAUGUGCUCACCUUUUUUAUUUUAUUAGUGUGUUCAUGUGUUCAGUUUCGUCAAGGUUAUCAGAAAGGUAAAAUUUGGUCUGAUAAUGAAGGAAAUGAAAAUUUAAUAUUUAUACAACUGCUUGGCUUUAUUUAUCAAAAAAUAUUAUUCAUAAUUCUGGAAUAAUAAAUUACUCUUUCCAUUUUUUUAUGAAUGAUCUGUAAAACCUGAAAAAAAAAAUUGGGAAUAUGUAAAACCAUACAAGCAAUGAACAUUUACCAGAUUUUACAAUUAUGGUUAUCAGAAAAGACCUAUUGCUCUAUUUAUAUAUUUUUUUUAAAUAUUGUAACUGAUUUGUUAAAAUGUUUUUGGCUGUAUGUGCAAAUGAUUAUAUUUUCUUUUUGUACUAUUGUUCCUGUGUUUAGUCCGUUUUGUGCUUAAAUAUUAUUUUCAAUAAAAAUAUUGAAUUUCCCAGUUUUCAUUAAGUAAAGGUUUACUCAAAACAAAUGAAAAACAACAACAUCCAAGGUACAGAGUAUUUGCCAAAGGGAAACACUGUUAAAUAUAAACAUGUCCUUGUAUAAGAUAAUAAUAACUGACAAAUUACAUAAGAAGCACUUCUAAUAUAUUUUUUAAGAAAGUAAAAGUAAAAAAUGCAAAGAAAUACCAAUACAGUAAUUUAAAAAUAGAUUUUUUUUUAAAGUGUCAGGUAUCAAUUUAAUGGAAAUUUUCUUUACGAAAUAAUGCAAAAAACAAAAA